AGGAAUAUUGGUCAAUGGGCGAGAGCCUGAACCAGCCAAGUAGCGUGAAGGAUGACUGCCCUAUGGGUUGUAAACUUCUUUUAUAAAGGAAUAAAGUCGGGUAUGCAUACCCGUUUGCAUGUACUUUAUGAAUAAGGAUCGGCUAACUCCGUGCCAGCAGCCGCGGUAAUACGGAGGAUCCGAGCGUUAUCCGGAUUUAUUGGGUUUAAAGGGAGCGUAGAUGGAUGUUUAAGUCAGUUGUGAAAGUUUGCGGCUCAACCGUAAAAUUGCAGUUGAUACUGGAUAUCUUGAGUGCAGUUGAGGCAGGCGGAAUUCGUGGUGUAGCGGUGAAAUGCUUAGAUAUCACGAAGAACUCCGAUUGCGAAGGCAGCCUGCUAAGCUGCAACUGACAUUGAGGCUCGAAAGUGUGGGUAUCAAACAGGAUUAGAUACCCUGGUAGUCCACACGGUAAACGAUGAAUACUCGCUGUUUGCGAUAUACAGCAAGCGGCCAAGCGAAAGCGUUAAGUAUUCCACCUGGGGAGUACGCCGGCAACGGUGAAACUCAAAGGAAUUGACGGGGGCCCGCACAAGCGGAGGAACAUGUGGUUUAAUUCGAUGAUACGCGAGGAACCUUACCCGGGCUUAAAUUGCAGAUGAAUUACGGUGAAAGCCGUAAGCCGCAAGGCAUCUGUGAAGGUGCUGCAUGGUUGUCGUCAGCUCGUGCCGUGAGGUGUCGGCUUAAGUGCCAUAACGAGCGCAACCCUUGUUGUCAGUUACUAACAGGUUUCGCUGAGGACUCUGACAAGACUGCCAUCGUAAGAUGUGAGGAAGGUGGGGAUGACGUCAAAUCAGCACGGCCCUUACGUCCGGGGCUACACACGUGUUACAAUGGGGGGUACAGAGGGCCGCUACCACGCGAGUGGAUGCCAAUCCCAAAAACCUCUCUCAGUUCGGACUGGAGUCUGCAACCCGACUCCACGAAGCUGGAUUCGCUAGUAAUCGCGCAUCAGCCACGGCGCGGUGAAUACGUUCCCG
rnacentral:rRNA from 1 species